UGGGCAUUAUAUUUCUUAUUAUUUUCAGUGUUAUCCUAGAUUCAGUUUCUUCUCUGAAUGAUCAGGUCCACCAGACGCCAAAGGACAUAUACAACACAAA